rnacentral:rRNA from 1 species
GGGGAUCUUCGGACCUCGCGCUAUUGGAUGAGCCCGCGUCGGAUUAGCUGUUGGUAGGGUAACGGCCUACCAAGGCGACGAUCCGCAGCUGGUCUGAGAGGACGAUCAGCCACACUGGGACUGAGACACGGCCCAGACUCCUACGGGAGGCAGCAGUGGGAAUAUUGGACAAUGGGCGAAAGCCUGAUCCAGCAAUGCCGCGUGUGUGAAGAAGGCCCUAGGGUUGUAAAGCACUUUCAGUUGGGAAGAAAAGCAGAGUGCUAAUACCACUCUGUCAUGACGUUACCGACAGAAGAAGCACCGGCUAACUCCGUG